GAGAGAGAUGUUCUCAGUAGAAUCAGCUUGGAACUGAAAAAUUAAGAUUUUGUUUUGUGCAAUGCUAGUUGCCUUGCCAGUCUCAAGCUGGCACUGUGGGCUUGCUGUAGCUGCUGAGUCUGAGCUGAGGAGAGGAGACAGUUUGCUUCGGUUUCAUUGCUCAGCCUCACCAUGCGUCUCAAUAUGUUUUUGAUUUCGUAUUUUAAAAAUAAGGUGAAUGAUCUCAAAAGGAAAUCAUUGCAGGCGAUUUUAUUCUUUGCUUUUUCUAAUGGACAAUUAAAAAGCAAUCCUGGUCCUAUUCCAGGGAUUUUCUCAUUUCUUAGUACAACUGUAAUUUAGGCACGUAUAAUAGCGCAAUGAUAUUAUUAGAUAUUAUCAUGUUUAUUUUAUUCAUGAAAAUGUGUGACACACCUUAUUUGUAUUCUUUUUGAGGAAAUGUCCUGGAAUGGGUUUUUGUCCCAGCUCCUUUUUGUGCCUGUAAGAAGCUCUAGCCAUGGUGACACUGUGAGAAAUGAAUGUCAAGUUCUCCUGGGUUGCUGGAAUGUUUGCACAAGGCACCAGUGAAGAAACAAGGGAGGAGACGCCGCAUACCCGUAAAGAUGCUGUGGUCCUGAAGGGGCCGACCUUGAAUUAUGUAGAAGGGAGUGAUGGAACUUUUUGGAUUGGUCCCAUUCUGCUUUGGGCUACUGUGGCUUUCAGUGUGCGAUUCAGUUCAUUGGCACCAGAUGCCGAAGAAACUAAGGUCAAGGGUGUGAGCCUCACUUGGGCCAGGUGGCUGCAUAAUUUUCCAACAGGUUGUGUGGCGAUUCAGUCUGGUCAUGGUAGAAAUGCUGGCCUGAAAGGGGGCUGGUGAACACGUGAGUGAGUGGGUGAAAAGCCAGCCCCAUUCCCGGAAAAGCAAAGCCGGAGCCCUACUGUCAUUUUUCCAACUGGAGAGAAUGUACCACUUAAAAUGUGAGCUUGUUACUCAACCUCCCUGUGUCUCUGUGUCCUCAUCUGGAGAAUGGAGAUAAGAUUUGCUCCCUUUCUACCUCACCAGGAUCUGAGAAGAUUAGAUAAUGGCUGUAAAGUCCUUCUACGAAGGUAUGAGCAUUAUCAUAAACAAGGAGAUUAGUCAACAAAUAAAGAAAAAAUUUUCUUAAAGGACCUCCCAAAGUGUAUUGCCUAAUCAUUUUUGAUUCAGUAUCAGCAGUUUGCAGUCUCCCCCCUUUCGAGUUUGGUUUAGCUGCAAAAAGUUAGGUGUGAAUGUUUGACCUUUCUAGUUGUUUAGAAGGUGAAAACAUUGUUUGAUAGCGAACAUUUCUAUUAAUCAAAACAAAGUGGGCUUUGAAUCCGACACAGGUCUUAUUUGAAAAAGGAGGUGAGGGCAAACGUCUCUAGGAACAUAUGUGCCACUGAGGAAUAUUUGCAUGCAUUUGAUCUGCAAGCACGCUUCGGUGAUUUUCAUAGUCUACCUUGGAGUUUAAGUUGUAGCCAUUGCUCAGCGGCACCGUCCUCUCUCUCCAGCUUUAUUAUGGCACACAGCGACAACUUCAUUUUUAGCAUUAAAAAAAAAAAAUCCUCUUCACUUAAUUCAGACAGUGACCUGCAGGCCUCAUUCUGACUGAAGGAGCCAUUCAGAAUACUUGCAGACAAAAGCAGGGCUUUUUCCUAGCAACCAGAUCAAAGCCAAAUCUCCCAGAAUAGCUCCCUCCCAGGUUUUCUUUGGCGCAUAGGUUCACAAGGCUUGUGGUAUCCAGUUCAAACUACUCUUUCAAACUGAAAUGGAAAGGAAAACUCCUGAGGAAUUUUCACAGACUCUGAAAACUGGCGAGCGUUGCGAGGGCACUUAAUCUUGGGAGAACACGGUGGUCAUUUGGAGCAUCCCUAACUUUGUUAUCGCCGCAUCUGCAUGAACAUUCUGUCGGACUUCCACAGAAUGAGGUCUCUGUUUCCUUUCUGCCAGUACCUAAUAUCAGCUAUGCCCAGGAGCCGGCUGAUGAAGACUUCCUGUUUGUUUUGAGUCACUGUUAGAGUGAUAAAUAUACUUUAGCUUUCUGCUUCGAGAGGAAAGAAACCAGCUGCCCUGAACUACAGAGAAAAAUGCAGAAAUUCCACUGAAUGGCCCUGUUAUCAUGGAGCUUCAAGGGCAGCAUCAAAAUGAAAACUAUAAGCCAGGGCGAAGUAAAUAAUUUCCAUAUUAAAGCAUCGUGCUGCAUGCUUGGACCUAAGUUGUUUGUCUUUAAUCAUUUAGGCGAGCGUUGCAUUUUUCACUCUUCUAAGGCCAACUCAGCGAUGUUUAGAGAUUUUUGAAAAUGUAAACUUACGCUACAGAAUAAUGGUGAGCUAUAUAAAUAAACAAUUAUAGUUGUGGUUUUUUGAUCUGACCACAAGCUUUUAAUGCCAUUUUUGCAUGAGCAUAUAAUGCUUCUGGAUAAAUGAUAAUGUUUAUAUUGUCAGUGGCAUCCACUGUUGUACUGAGUCAUUUACAUAUGUGAUUAUUUGGAUAUAGAGUAAUGCAAGAACAAAAGAACACUAUAAAAUGAUUGAAAACAAGACCAACAGGAAAUCCUUUAUAGCUUAAAUAGCACUUCUUAAAUAAAGCCAUGGAGUUUUUGUGUUUUGAUUUUGUUUUUGUCCUUUUAUUUUGAACAGGUUUUGGAUUUAAUGACUCGAAUGUCCUUUGAGUGGAAUUUCUUAACUCUGGUCUGAAGGGUGGUGAAUUUAGGAAGCCUUAUU